rnacentral:piRNA from 1 species
UCCUAGUUUCAUAGGAGCGAACUAGAAAAU